AGUUUUGAACAUAAGCUAAGUAUUAGGAUAGAUAAGUUUUUAUUUGUAGGAUAUCCUAAAGAGAGUAUGAGAUACAUCUUCUACCAUCCUAUUGAAUAAAAGAUUUUUGUUAGUAGGCAUACCAUUUUUAUGGAAAAAAAGUUUAUCCUAGAAGGGGACAGUGAAAAAAAAAUUAAACUUGGUGAAGUUCAAGACCUAUAAAUAGAUACACA
rnacentral:lncRNA from 1 species